rnacentral:lncRNA from 1 species
GUCCUCAAAACCAGCCACCCCAAGACGCUCUUUCUUGUCUGUACUGUCUUCUCCCCGCAGCCCUUCAAGAUUUGGUUUACACCCUUCCCUUCUCCGGGAAGCCCUCCUUGGCUCCUGUGGGAAGCAGAGUGGGCUCUGCUCCUCUGAGCUCCUAAGUUACUUCUGAUCCAAGCGGUGUAGCUGGCUCAGCACAUGAUGACAGUUGGCCCAGGUUCUAACCAGCCUCCCCGCACUGAAAGAGCCCUAGGGACCAGGCUCUUGACUCACUCUUCCUGUGCAUCCUUGGUACCCAGCAUGGGAGGAGGGAUUGAUAAAUGCUUGCCGAGGAGGUGACCAAUUGAUCAAGAGAUGGCUGGCUGUCUGGCCCCACGGUCUGUGGUACUGGGUGAAUUGGGAGCUCUUUUGGAGUGUCCAAGAUCAGAAAGGGCAGGAGAGGGAUGAGGCUUCAGGCAAUGGGAAAAACAUACCUUUUUGUUUGUUUGUUCGUUUGUCUUUUCUAGGGCUGCACCCACGGCAUAUGGAGGUUCCCAGGCUAGGCGUCAAAUUGGAACUGUAGCCGCUGGCCUAUGCCAGGGCCACAGCAACUCAGGAUCCGAGCUGCAUCUGUGACCUACACCACAGCUGUGACCUACACCACAGCUCACGGCAAUGCCAGAUCCUUAACCCACUGAGCAAGGCCAGGGAUCGAACCCGCAAUCUCAUGGGUCCUAGUCGGAUUUGUUAACCACUGAGCCACAACAGGAACUCCAAAACAGGUCUUCCUGUAUGUCUCCUGCCCUGCGUUUGUGGAGUCCCACACUUAUGAUCCCAGAAUUGCAGACUCAGUGACAAGAGGCAGUAAAUCCUGCUCACCAAUCAGCAUAAAUUAGAAAUCCCGCUUGCCCAGUAAUAGGGUCAUCAUUUAACUGAUGGCUGCUUUCCUCUACCAGGGGCCCUUAGCAUCUCAUAUCGCCUUGUGUGAGGCCGAGCAAAUAAUGUGCAUUAUGUGUAUUUCUGCAUAUUGGCUAGCAAGGCUGACUGGUUAGGACUGCAUUGUAAUUUUAAUGGCCCCUUCAGAGGACACUGUCAUGAAACAGAGUAUGUCAUCUAAAACAGAAAUAGCAACAAUGGCACCAUCUGUUAACUCGCUUACCCUUAUUGGACAAUGGUCGGUGACAAGUCCACGUGAUUGGUCGCCUGCCUUUCCCUUUACUAUUAUUGGUGUCCUUUCUCUACCCGGAAGGAGGUAGCGCUGAGUCUUGCUCUGUAGGUAUCUGCGUGGAAUGCUGGAAACAACUCAGAUUCUUUCCUCCGUCUGACCCAGAUUCGAAUCCCAGCUCUGCCUCGUGAUCACUGUGUGACCUUGGCCAGGUGACUGGCCCUGACCUCUGCAGCGCUGUGCUGAGGAGUCGUGCGCUGCGUGCCAGCCAUUCUCAUGGAGGAUGCGGCGAUGCAGAGUGGAUGGACUCGGGCUAUCGGUUCACUGCAGUAUCCUCUAAAGCAGAUCAUUAUUCUGUAUGGAAUAAAUAGUGUUAUCGGGCUGAUAUGCUUAAGGCUAAUGAGCCCAUGUCUAGGAUCUGAGAAGCCAGAUAACAAGACAUGUUUUUCUCCAUUGGCUUCUAUUGAUGUAUUAAUUAAUGAAAUCCAAGAUUCCCCUUUGAGCUGGAGGAGUGUUUAAAUCACUCCUGAGCUGAACGGGGCGCCUCUUGCCUCCUGCUCCCAGAUGCAGCAGAGGACUGGGGCAGGCAGCAGAUUUUCCUCUCUGGCCUGGCCCGAGGAGGAGCAGGAGCGGGUACAGCCGGGAGGCAAGUCCCCCCUACAUCAUCAGCCAUGGAGGACCAGCCAGGGAUCACAGGUCCAGGCUGCCUUGGAGCUCACCUUCUGCUUCAUCCCACUUCCUUUGGGAUUUCUGUCUUCCAAAGCACCCUGCGAUGUGACCUCUCAACUGGAUGUCUUUUGUAUGGACUGAAAAACCGCCCAGGAACAAGGCUGGGUGAGUCCCGGGCCAGGCUAUCCCUACGCUGUUGUUUGGCUUGUUUUGAAUGACCAUCUGCUGUGGCGGGUGGCGGCGUGGGGAAAGUCAGGGUUGGUACAGACAUGCCUGGGCCCGAGACCUGACCUCAGCACUAAUUAGCUGCAUAGACUUAGUCAAGUUGUGGAAAGCCUCUAAGCCUCGAUGUUCUUGUCUGUGAAAUAGAGACAAAUAAGAAUCCUUAUACCUAAUGCUCAUAUUGAUAUUGUUACGAAUACUAAUGUGUAUCCCAAAGGGUUGUUUGUGAAAAUUAUGUGACCUAGCCUGCCUGAUGACGUUUCUGGAAGAGGACACGCCCAGAGUAAAUAAUUAAGAGCCACGGGAAUGAUUAGUCUUUGUAACCUCUUAUUAAAUACAGAAGGGGAGAAAAGAGAUGGAUGGAAAAAUAUUCCUUAGAAAAACGGAAUUGCAUUAUGUUUCAUACCUUCUGGUGACUUCAGCCUCUCUAAUAAUCUGUCAAGAAGAUAUCUUAAGGAACCUGCUUCAAUACUUAAAAUCAGUGUGUGACUAGCACUUUCUUUUCCAUACAAAAGGAGAGAGGCAUUUGAAAAAUGUUGUUGUCAUAGUGGCUUACACUCCUCUCAACAGCCUUGCUAGAAAUAUUCAUUUGUGCCUUGCUCCUCCUCAGAGUGACCAUGUCCCUCUAUGCCCCAGAGGCAACCUUAUCCUGCUCUGUGCCAUUGCUAACUUUAUACCCUCCUGUAUCUAUAGAUAACCAAAUACCCCCACUCCUCAUAGCUAACCAUGCACCGCAGACUCUAUACAUAACCAGGCACCUCCACACAUCACAGGUAACUAUGUAUCCCCAUGCGCUGUAGGGGACAGGGUACCCCUGCAGCUGUCACCUUCCAGCCUCAGAGCGAGUCCGCCUCAGAGCCUCCACAUUGCAGCCACCUGUGGUCUUCCCUGGCCUCUGCUCCCUGGCAAAGCCUUUAGGGAGCAUGGUGAAGUGUCGUGCAGU